ACCCAAAUAGCUCAGUUAAGAGAGCGUUGGACUAUAGAUUUAAAGGUCCGUGGUUCGAUCCCGGGAUCCUGCA
rnacentral:tRNA from 1 species